GAUGAACGCUGGCGGCGUGCCUAAUACAUGCAAGUCGAGCGAACAGAUGAGGAGCUUGCUCCUCUGACGUUAGCGGCGGACGGGUGAGUAACACGUGGAUAACCUACCUAUAAGACUGGGAUAACUUCGGGAAACCGGAGCUAAUACCGGAUAAUAUAUUGAACCGCAUGGUUCAAUAGUGAAAGACGGUUUUGCUGUCACUUAUAGAUGGAUCCGCGCCGCAUUAGCUAGUUGGUAAGGUAACGGCUUACCAAGGCAACGAUGCGUAGCCGACCUGAGAGGGUGAUCGGCCACACGGGAACUGAGACACGGUCCAGACUCCUACGGGAGGCAGCAGUAGGGAAUCUUACGCAAUGGGCGAAAGCCUGACGGAGCAACGCCGCGUGAGUGAUGAAGGUCUUCGGAUCGUAAAACUCUGUUAUUAGGGAAGAACAAAUGUGUAAGUAACUAUGCACGUCUUGACGGUACCUAAUCAGAAAGCCACGGCUAACUACGUG
rnacentral:rRNA from 1 species